AUGAACGCUAGCUACAGGCUUAACACAUGCAAGUCGCGGGGUAACAUCUGGGAGAGCUUGCUCUUCCAGGAUGACGACCGGCGCACGGGUGAGUAACGCGUAUCCAACCUGGCCCAUACCACGGGAUAGCCCGUCGAAAGGCGGAUUAAUACCGUAUGCUGUCAUUAAGAUGCAUAUAUUGAUGACGAAAGGACUGGCGGUAUGGGAUGGGGAUGCGUCUGAUUAGCUUGUUGGCGGGGUAACGGCUCACCAAGGCGACGAUGCGUAGGGGUUCUGAGAGGAAGGUCCCCCACACUGGUACUGAGACACGGACCAGACUCCUACGGGAGGCAGCAGUGAGGAAUAUUGGUCAAUGGGCGAGAGCCUGAACCAGCCAAGUAGCGUGCAGGACGACGGCCCUAUGGGUUGUAAACUGCUUUUAUAAGGGAAUAAAGUGAGUCUCGUGAGACUUUUUGCAUGUACCUUAUGAAUAAGGACCGGCUAAUUCCGUG
rnacentral:rRNA from 1 species